UACGUAGGUGGCAAGCGUUGUCCGGAUUUACUGGGCGUAAAGAGCGCGCAGGCGGUCGUUCAAGUCGCGUGUGAAAGCCCCCGGCUCAACUGGGGAGGGUCACGCGAUACUGAUCGACUCGAAGGCAGGAGAGGGAAGUGGAAUUCCCGGUGUAGUGGUGAAAUGCGUAGAGAUCGGGAGGAACACCAGAGGCGAAGGCGGCGGCCUGGACAGUUACUGACACUCAACUACGAAAGCGUGGGGAGCAAACAGG
rnacentral:rRNA from 1 species